CUCGAUGUAGCCAAGUGGUCGAAGGCGACUGAUUGCAAAUCAGUUGGCGCAAGCCCACGUCCGUUCGAAUCGGACCGUCGAGUCCA
rnacentral:tRNA from 1 species